rnacentral:rRNA from 1 species
CCUGGCUCAGGACGAACGCUGGCGGCGCGCCUAACACAUGCAAGUCGAACGAGAGAUGAGGAGCUUGCUCUUCAGAUCGAGUGGCGAACGGGUGAGUAACGCGUGAGGAACCUGCCUCAAAGAGGGGGACAACAGUUGGAAACGACUGCUAAUACCGCAUAAGCCCACGGCUCGGCAUCGAGCAGAGGGAAAAGGAGCAAUCCGCUUUGAGAUGGCCUCGCGUCCGAUUAGCUGGUUGGUGAGGUAACGGCCCACCAAGGCGACGAUCGGUAGCCGGACUGAGAGGUUGAACGGCCACAUUGGGACUGAGACACGGCCCAGACUCCUACGGGAGGCAGCAGUGGGGAAUAUUGCACAAUGGGGGAAACCCUGAUGCAGCGACGCCGCGUGGAGGAAGAAGGUCUUCGGAUUGUAAACUCCUGUUGUUGAGGAAGAUAAUGACGGUACUCAACAAGGAAGUGACGGCUAACUACGUGCCAGCAGCCGCGGUAAAACGUAGGUCACAAGCGUUGUCCGGAAUUACUGGGUGUAAAGGGAGCGCAGGCGGGAGAACAAGUUGGAAGUGAAAUCCAUGGGCUCAACCCAUGAACUGCUUUCAAAACUGUUUUUCUUGAGUAGUGCAGAGGUAGGCGGAAUUCCCGGUGUAGCGGUGGAAUGCGUAGAUAUCGGGAGGAACACCAGUGGCGAAGGCGGCCUACUGGGCACCAACUGACGCUGAGGCUCGAAAGUGUGGGUAGCAAACAGGAUUAGAUACCCUGGUAGUCCACACCGUAAACGAUGAUUACUAGGUGUUGGAGGAUUGACCCCUUCAGUGCCGCAGUUAACACAAUAAGUAAUCCACCUGGGGAGUACGACCGCAAGGUUGAAACUCAAAGGAAUUGACGGGGGCCCGCACAAGCAGUGGAGUAUGUGGUUUAAUUCGACGCAACGCGAAGAACCUUACCAAGUCUUGACAUCCCUUGACGAACAUAGAAAUAUGUUUUCUCUUCGGAGCAAGGAGACAGGUGGUGCAUGGUUGUCGUCAGCUCGUGUCGUGAGAUGUUGGGUUAAGUCCCGCAACGAGCGCAACCCUUAUGGUCAGUUACUACGCAAGAGGACUCUGGCCAGACUGCCAUUGACAAAACGGAGGAAGGUGGGGAUGACGUCAAAUCAUCAUGCCCUUUAUGACUUGGGCUACACACGUACUACAAUGGCGUUAAACAAAGAGAAGCAAGACCGCGAGGUGGAGCAAAACUCAGAAACAACGUCCCAGUUCGGACUGCAGGCUGCAACUCGCCUGCACGAAGUCGGAAUUGCUAGUAAUCGUGGAUCAGCAUGCCACGGUGAAUACGUUCCCGGGCCUUGCACACACCGCCC